UCUUAGAAAAGCAGACAAGAUAGAGGAAUUGCAGGUAAUUAUACUAUCUUAAUUAUGAUGCUUAAUUCAACACAUAUAAACUGCCUUGUACAAUAAUGCAUUCAUAUCAUAGACUGUAUUAUCUCUAUUAAUAACACUAGUGAACUCUUAUUGGCUUAAAUCCUCUUACGUUGAACAUUUCAUUAUGCCACCUAAUGAUGAAUUAAUCAGCUUAUCAUUUCUUAAACCUUAUUAUUGAGUUUUCGUUGUCGGAGUGGUUGAGAAAUAAUGAGGGAUAAUUAUUGAAUGAAGAAGAAGAAUAAGACAAGAUAAUGUGCUGCCUUGUUGAUAAUAAAACAAUUCGUGUGAUAGAAAACAUAUUAGUAUUUCAAAUAUUGUUUAUGAAUAAAUUGUCUUGUUCAUGCAAGCUACCACAUGUUCACGCGUAAAGAUGCCUCGAUGAGAUUGAAUUCUAUUUAAAAAUUGAAAAACAAAGACUUAGAAGUUAGAUCUACAGAUAAAUUUUGUCAACUCUUGUUCAAUUUGCACCAAUUAAUUCUUGUUAAGUUUGCAGCAAUUCUCACUCUCUCUCUCUCUGUCUCUCACACACACACACACAUAGCCAAUUUUGUGAACUCUUGUUCAGUUUGCAUCAAUUCUCUCCCUCUCUCACACACACAUCCACAUAGCCAAUUUUGUGAACUCUUGUUUAGUUUGCAUCAAUUCUCUCUCUCUCACACACACAUCCACAUAGCAAAUUUUGUGAACUCUUGUUUAGUUUGCACCAAUUCUCUCUCUCACACACAUCCACAUAGCAAAUUUUGCAAACUCUUAUUAAGAAAGUGUUUGCAGAAACAGAUCUUCUUGGAAAAGCAGACAAGCUUAGUCUCUGGAGUUUUGUUUUUGACAGGGAACUGUGUUAUUGAAGUUAAAGCCGAGUAGGGAAGGUGAGGAUGAAUUUCGAUUCUGUAGUGAAAUUUGAGAUUUUUCUUUUUUUCCUCUAUUUUUGGUGUUUCCUUUUGUACUAAUUGACAUGUUUGCCUAUAGAAAUCAAUCAUUUCCUCGUGUGAUAUGUACUAUAUUCAAUCGUGGGGAAAGAUUCAACACACUUUUAAAACAAGUAGUGAAAGUUUAGAUUUGGUGAUCUUA